UGGGGAAUAUUGCACAAUGGAGGGAACUCUGAUGCAGCGACGCCGCGUGAACGAAGAAGGCUUUCGAGUCGUAAAGUUCUUUUAUAUGGGAAGAUAAUGACGGUACCAUAAGAAAAAGCCACGGCUAACUACGUGCCAGCAGCCGCGGUAAUACGUAGGUGGCAAGCGUUGUCCGGAAUUAUUGGGCGUAAAGCGCGCGCAGGUGGUUUAGAAAGUCUGAUGUGAAAGCCCACGGCUCAACCGUGGAGGGUCAUUGGAAACUAAUAAACUUGAGUGCAGGAGGGGAAAGUGGAAUUCCUAGUGUAGCGGUGAAAUGCGUAGAGAUUAGGAGGAACACCGGUGGCGAAAGCGGCUUUUUGGCCUGCAACUGACACUGAGGCGCGAAAGCGUGGGGAGCAAACAGG
rnacentral:rRNA from 1 species